CUCUGGGUCUUUUUCUUGUUCCCACGGACAUCUACAGAAAAUACCCUCUUUGUUGGCACUUGCUGUGAUCCCCUCAUAAAAGAAAUAAUUCAAUGUACUCUCCAGGAGGAGAGAGGAAAUCGCAUCUUGCUGAGGACAAGACAGACAUCGCCCUGAAGUUUUUUUGAGAGGCGUAAUCAAGAGCACAGCUUCAGUGAAGGACGCUCCAGGCAGAUGUGGAAGUUCUUGGACCUAAAAGGAGCUUUUUCAGCAUGCCUCUGAGAGCUGAACCCUUCAGUGGGUCCUGGCUUAACUUCUUCAGGAAAGAGCGUGGGUGCCUCAAGUCUGUGUUCAGUUGUGAAACUGGUGAUACCAGGAUUGCCUGGAUAACCACUGUCCGGACAGACACUGUCCCAAGUGAAAAGCUUCCAUGGCAAAGCCUCCCAUAUUUCUGUGGCUGCUUCAGCACCUUUCAGGGCACCAGGAGAAGCUUUCACAGAAGAAUCAGACCUCACACCACUAAUGGCACAUCCAGAACUCCCCGUGCAUGUCAUGUCCAGGUCUCCUGCCCUGCUGUAAAGCGACUGUCCAAGCUCCUGCUCAGUCCUCCAAAAAUUUUGUGACAGCACCAUACCCAAUCUCACAGGACAGAUGUUCUGGGAAUGACUGUAGCAAAAAGGCUGGGAAACAAAGAAAAAGGCUCUUGGAAUCUUCUCCGGAGAAUGUGAAGAAAAUCUUUAUCUUCAACAAUUCACAUUCCUACUUUUUCCUCAUUCUUUGUUUGACAAAUUGUUUUCUAUUUACAGCCAGCACUUUUUAAUGCAUUCUCCCUCCCCCAGCCUACUGGGUUCCUAUUUUAUCCUUCUGACAAUGUUACCAUAUGGUUCUAUUAUUCAGAGAUUCCUAAACAUGUAUUGCAACAGUCCUGAAAAAUAAUUAGGUGCUGCUGUGGUGUAAAAGCACAUCUGUGAUCAAUGGCUCCCUCUGGAAAUUAUGGGAUAAAAUGUCCCAAGACAUUUUUCUAUCUUUCUACUUUCCCCCCACCAUUUUCUGUCCCUCCCUGUCCCCCAGA